rnacentral:misc_RNA from 1 species
GAUGAAGAACGUAGCGAAAUGCGAUAAGUAGUGUGAAUUGCAGAAUUCAGUGAAUCAUCGAAUCUUUGAACGCACAUUGCGCCCCUUGGUAUUCCAUGGGGCAUGCCUGUUCGAGCGUCAUUUGUACCUUCAAGCCUUGCUUGGUGUUGGGUGUUUGUCUCGCCUCUGCGCGCAGACUCGCCUCAAAACAAUUGGCAGCCGGCGUAUUGAUUUCGGAGCGCAGUACAUCUCGCGCUUUGCACUCAGAACGACGACGUCCAAAAGUACAUUUUUACACUCUUGACCUCGGAUCAGGUAGGAUUACCCGCUGAACUUAAGCAUAUCAAUAAGCGGAGGA